rnacentral:rRNA from 1 species
CAUAACCUUUAGCUAAACCAGUAUUAAAGGCAACGCCUGCCCAGUGAAUAAUUAAACGGCCGCGGUACCCUAACCGUGCAAAGGUAGCGUAAUCACUUGUCUAUUAAUUGUAGACCCGUAUGAAAGGCAUGAUGAGGGUUUAACUGUCUCUUUUAGUAAAUCAAUUAAACUGAUCUCCUAGUCCAAAAGCUAAGAUACCAACAUAAGACCAGAAGACCCUGUGAAACUUUAACUAAAAUAUUAAAGCCUAUAAUAUCUACUUUAGGUUGGGGCGACCUUGGAAAAUAAAAGAACUUCCAUACACACAUUAUACAAUAAUGUACCACCGGCCAACAAGCCUACAACGACCCAGCACAGCUGAUAAUUGAACCAAGCUACUCCAGGGAUAACAGCGCUAUCUUCUUCAAGAGCCCAUAUCAAAAAGAAGGUUUACGACCUCGAUGUUGGAUCAGGACAUCCUAAUGGUGCAACCGCUAUUAAGGGUUCGUUUGUUCAACGAUUAAUAGUCCUACGUGAUCUG